rfam:Aedes albopictus isolate Foshan contig124740, whole genome shotgun sequence.
UGCUCAGCAACUCCUAUCCCUACCUCCUCGUGGUAAAAGCCGGAAACUAUGAGCAACCUUAGGGAAGAUCGGGUAACCAACCCCGGUGGGAACUUUGGUCGUAGGCUGACAGGGAAGG